rnacentral:lncRNA from 1 species
UGUAUGGCUCUACUGUGCAUCAGGCAUCAUGAUAGACCCUAAGUGUAAGGAGAAAUAGAAAAAUGAAAUAAACUCUGCUGUACAGGAAUGCAUCUGUAAUUGCUGUAGAUUGGAACCUGGGGAUGUGCGGAAGCACAGAAUGGCGGGCACAGACAGUUCUAAGGAAUGCAAACCUUCCUGGUCUUGGUGUAGUCUGUGAUUGUGUGGCUUUGCAUGUAAGAUGAGCUCUGUGUAAGGAGCAAGCCAGGCCAGAGGAAGGACCUGCCAUCAGCCUUUGUCAUCCAGUGGUUCCUCAGCUUCAUUGCAGUGACCAAAACAAUUGAUAAGUGCAACUUAAAGAAAACAUGUGACUUGGCAGAUGAUUUUAUAGGUUUCUGGCCACAGUGCCCAAACAUCAUGGUUGGAAAUGUAUCAUGUGCUCAAUUUGUGGGACAAAAGAAGGGGAGAGGAGAAGAGAGAAGAAAACGAGGAAGCUAGGAAAAGAGGGGAAAAAUAAGGAGGGAUGGAGGGAGGGAGGAGAGAAAGGGAGAGAGAGAGAGAGAGACAGAGAGAGAGACAGACAGACAGACAGACAGACAGACAGACCUGGGGACAAGAUACACCGUUCAAAAACAAACCCUAAGCAACCCACUUCCUCCAACUAGACCUCACCUCCUAAUAACCCAUAUCGAUGAAGUUAUCAUUUACUUCAUCAAUGAAGUUAACUCUCUCCUAAUGUGGUCUCCCCUCAAUAGUGCCAUCAGCUGAGGAACAAGCCUUUGGAGGCAUUUUCUAUUCAAACCAUAGCACUCGGUAAAAGCAAGCUGGAUGGAAUGGCUCCUGGAUGUCUAUUAGAUACAGACCCAGUUCCUUGGCACGGACACAGGAAUCUUUCCUCUAAGUUUUAAUCCAGGACCCAAAUCUUCCAUAACCACUCUGCCAGGUCCUCCAGCACCACCGAGGUCAUCUGUCUCAGUCACGACCAAACACCUUAAGCCCAGCCAAGUUACAAAUGGUGUUCAAAGGUAUCUGCUGGGAGUUGACAAUUUUCAGACAGAGAGACAGAGACCGAGAUCACUCGGCUGUCCUUGGUGCAUAAGUUGCCAGGUAGAGCAGCUUGAUAUCCCUAGAUAAUUGAUUCAGGCACUCACCUUUCUGCAAAUGUAUAACAAACCAUUAAUAAAUGAGUUCUGACAUUCUGCAACUGUUGGCUGGUACCAAGUCAAACACAGGCACCACCCUUCAUGUUGUAUUAUUGCAGCUAUCAGUCAGCCUGGCUGAUCUUUGCAGCCUACUGUUGUAGAUUAUCAAUCUGAGACCAUCGGUCCUGAAUGCUGUGUAAUGCUAGCACACAAACUCUUCGGUAGUGCUUUGUGGUAUGGGGCCAGCAGUGGGGCCUGUAGAGCAGAGGCGGUGGUAUUUCCUAAGAGUACUGAAGUAGCCACAGCUGCUGUCACUGACACUGUUACCCUUGCUGCCAUGUUCUCUAUUCAGAGCAUAGAAAGACCAAAUGACAAGAGGUGAGAGAGAAAUCUGUAUCCACCUAUAGCUGAGUCUAUGACUGUGCAGAUGAGACACACACAGAAGCCAUACAUGCACACACACACACACACACACACACACACACACACACACACACACACACACACACACGGCCAUGCCCGGGUGCUUUGGCUGCUGUUUGAACAACUACCAAGAAGUGUCAAUAGACAUGCAGAUUUGACUCAUAGCUGUCCUUGUCACUAACUUUGAUUCUGUCCAGUUUAAACCAUCAGUUUGCUGGAGUGGAAGCUGAGAAGUAGGAGACUAGUCUGGGAAUAGAAGAAAGUCCACCGAGGAGAGCCGGGAAGAUUAGCUGUGAGUAAGCCAACUUGUCGACCUAGGAAGAUAGCUCAGACCACAGUCUCAUGCUGCCUGUGCUAGGGUCUGUGACACCAGUCAGCAGGUCACCCAGUCAUGGCCCUGAGAAAUCCCACGGCGGUUCAGAGCACUAGAGACUGAUUAAACAUGUUUAUAUAUAAUUUGAAAAUGGUGCUUUCAGGAAGCGUGUGGUUCUUUAAAGUCAUUUUAAAAUGUGAGAUUUAACUUCAGUUUAUUUAUACUACAGCCAUUAAAAAAAAAAGAGCCCCACACCCAGCACAUAGGCCAAUGAUGUAUGGAGUCUUCUAAGCGAAUUGUCAGAGCUAGCUUAUAUAUUUCAGUCUAUCAAUAUGGCCUUUCACAGUUCCUAAUUAGUUUCGCUAGUUGACUUGCAGAAAAGUGUAUUUAAAGUGAGCUGUCAGGCAUUCCACUGAGGGACCCACACUAAUGAAAAGCACACAGUGUCGGGAGGCCAGUAGAAGAGCCCCCAUGCACCCCUAAUUUGUACUGGAGUGAUUAUCAUCCCUGUUAGAAAAGACUUCAGUCGGAAGCCUUUGGUGCCUACUGCAGCAUUGAGCAGCGAGGUUUGCAAGCUAACGUACGCGCCACAGAGAUUGUACUGGGAGCUCAGCUGACUUUGGGCUACUCUCCCUCCUCAUGGCUCCCAAAGAGAAAAUGGCUCCAAAGGAAAGAAAAUCAUCAAUAAGGUAUACGUUUGCUCAGUUUUGGCAUUCUCCUUUGUCUAAGCUUGAUUGCUACCACUCAUGAGGGACACGUAUUCGAAGCACGCCAUCUUCCAGCUUCAAUAACUGGAGCAGGUGUGCGCCCGCUUUGAGAGCUUUACAGGAGAUCGGAGCAGUCUACCAGAAACGGUGGAUGCACAAUUAGAUCCCGACAAUGCACACAUUCAUGCCGAUCAAACCAUGUUCCUUAAAUGAGGGGCCGCGUUUGCUUUAGCUCUUGCUCAGUUUCCAAGCAGGACCCUGGCUGCCAGCAUUUCUAGCUGAGUAGGUUUCAGGAGCGAAGAGUUUCCAUUCAUGUGUGCCCUGGCGAGGAUGGACGGGACGGUCCCUUCCCUUUGUGUGGCGAAUGCAAAGCAGCAGUGUCAUGUGUCACCACUCCACACUGAGAGCCACAGGGCCAUUACCACCGCACAUCUUCUCUCAGCGUCUGACCUGCUCAGGUGUGUCAGUCGGUUGGUCUACGAUGUGCUGUGGCUGUUUUAUUAUGUGUAAGAAAGGGAAAACUUGCCAAUCCACUCCACUAAUUCGAGCUUGACUCAUGACAUCAGCAGUAAACUAGAACUUAGCUUCUAACCACAUACAAAUAGGUCUCCGGCUGCUGUUUUUGCUGUGAUGUCAAUCCUGAUGACCUGCUCCCGUUCAUUAGCUGAUGCACUCCCUGGGGGUAGAUGCUGGGAGAAAGAAUUCGGUUUUUGUUUUCCUAAUGCAUCAAAUAUGUUUUGGACAAUAGAAAUACUUUUCUAUCAACAGUUUUCUGGCCUCUUGAUUUCCCAACUCGGUUAAUUAGACCUCUGCGUCUGUAUUUCCAGGUCUUUAUUAGAACACAACAUUACCUACAGGAGAGAUGAUUUCUAAAUCAGAUUGGGUUUCCACACACACCUUGCUCCUCUCCCAGGAGGCUUCAUUCCAUGUCUACAUGCAGCAGCAAAACCAGACCAACCAAAUUAUCCUGUAGUUUGAAGGCAUCUCUGCAGGUCAGGACAGUAGCCUGACUGGUGGGGAAAGGUGUUUACAAGGACCCAGUGAUGAUACCACCCGGAGAAGCCGAGGGCAUGACUCAGACCUGCCAGGGCUUUGCUUCAGGCCACCUGCCUCUGCAUGUUCCUGUUCAUCUGAUGGGCACGCUCACCCAAGCGCACACAGGAGAGAGAUUAACACGUGUGGCUGUGUCUCUAUGAAUCAGCAUUUACCUUCUCAGAAGGCUAUUUUGUGAUACACAAAAUACACAAAAGUCCAUUUAUUUAAAAGUGUUUCACUCUGAAAUGUAGCACAAACUCAAGAAUUCAUGUCUACUCAGGCCAGUCCAUAGCUAGAGACCAGAAGUAGUAAUUAAGGAGAGAAGAAGAGGCAAGGAGGCAGCAGCGGUGAGAUCCAUGUGUGACAGGCUUUCACAGUAAAGCUUCCGUGAGCCACACAGCUAUUUUCUUGGCACAGAAGCGCAUACAAAUGAAAUUGUUGCUGAACAUAUAAGAGAGAAAUUUAAUUAGGUGUAAUCAUAGCACUUUUGAUUUUCGAGGCACUUUGCAAAUGCAAACUAAUUAAUCUUCCAUUAUAUAUUCAAGUGGGAAGGAGAUACAUCUUUCUGCUGUAUCAAGAGGAGCCCACAUAGAGAGUGCUGGCCUCCCAAGAAUGCUCUCUGUCAUUUUGCUGUUGGCCACACGUUUAAGCCAAACUGAAUGAUGGCAACGGGGCACUACAGCAUAGUUUAGGACAGUACAAAAUUGGCAGGCUUAGCAGUGAGAUCAAGGAACGGGGCUUUAAUAUGAAAAAACAGCUCAUCUUAAUCAUCACAGCCCAAAAAUCACAAACUAGAAAUAAAGAGCAAACAGAGAUUGAAAGAAGCCAAUUUAAAUACAGACUCAGUGAUUUAAAUGUGGGAUAUAUUCCUUGGAACACAGAAGAGCUUCUAGUUAGCCAGUAUUGAGCCUUUGGACAAGACCCUAACAGUUCUGAAGCCCAGAUUUCUCACCUAUGGAUUAUGGGUACUGGUAUAGCAGGUGCCUGGGGGCUUCUUUGCUCUGCAAUUCGGGUCUCUAUACAAGGCAAGUAAUGCGUCAACAGGACCAGAUUCUUCCCUGGGAAGGGUCUCUGAAUACUAUUUCCCUAGUGAGUUAACAUUUCAGCUGCUGAGGAGGACUAUGGCAUAAAUCUGCACGCAGUACAUUCAUCCAAUUAGUUUGAAACUCCAACCUUAAUUAAAGAUUCCUUUCUCACGGCGCUGUACCAAUAUCACAAAUGCAAACAGAGCAGGGGCUUUUUAGUUGGAGCAAUUCACACAGCUAGCUGAUUUUUUUUUUUUUUUGGUUUUUUUUUUUUUUUUUUAAUGACUGGAGUCAGUCCAAGUUUUUCCCUGUAUACCGCCACAUUAAAUUCUGUGAGGUGUGUGUGUGUGUGUGUGUAUUUGUGUGUGUGUGUUUAUCAUGUGUUUCAUGAAAAUAUUUGUGGGAGUGGGGGCAAGAGAUAAUUCAGGAUAAUAAGCCAAUUAUAUAAGCCAAGACUACAAGGCACGCCUAUGGUUCCUUCUAUAUUUGGAUCAUGUAAAAAUAGUGUGGUUCUGGGUUUUUUUUUUUUUAGAAGUAGGAUAUUUUUAGGAAUGAAUUUGUACUAUGAAGAUAAAAUGAUAUAAAACAAUGGGAUCCAAAAGCAUACCCAGCUGAGUAUAUAAGGGAAAGGUUUGUAAGGAAGAUUAACUUACCAAGUCGUUUAGAGUUAAGCUGCAUAGACUCCCCUAGCUAUCUAGGCAGCAUUUGCAAUGGCACAACCACACUGAGAAAC